rnacentral:rRNA from 1 species
UGGCGGUGCUUUAUACCACUCAGGGGAACCUGUCUCAUAAUCGACAGUCCACGAUAUACCUAACCUUUAUUUUGUACACAGUAUGUAUACCGUCGUCGUCAGGUAACUUUUAAAAAUAAAGGAGUUAGCGAUAUAAAUUUUAAUUUUAGACGUCAGAUCAAGGUGCAGCCUAUAAAAAGGUGAGGAUGGGUUACAAUUAAUAUUUAUAAUAACGAAUAAAAAUAUGAAACACUGUUUUAUAAAGGCGGACUUGAAAGUAAAAAUUUAUAUAUAAAUUUUUUGAAUUUGGCUCUUAAGCGUGC